rnacentral:rRNA from 1 species
GUGCCAGCAGCCGCGGUAAUACGUAGGGUGCAGGCGUUAAUCGGAAUUACUGGGCGUAAAGCGUGCGCAGGCGGCUUCUCAAGUCAGAUGUGAAAUCCCCGGGCUUAACCUGGGAACUGCGUUUGAAACUGGGGAGCUAGAGUGUGGCAGAGGGGGGUGGAAUUCCACGUGUAGCAGUGAAAUGCGUAGAUAUGUGGAGGAACACCGAUGGCGAAGGCAGCCCCCUGGGCCUGCACUGACGCUCAUGCACGAAAGCGUGGGGAGCAAACAGGAUUAGAUACCCCUGUAGUCC